UCUGAUUACAGGUUACGCUGCAGUAGUUGCAUUUAAUACUGGCAAACCACAGUAUUCUUUAUAUAAAGCGAAUUUUAAUGCGAGUCCAAGAAAAUCAGUAAAAAAUCUCGAGUUACGCCGAUGUAAGCGUAACAUCAAACGUCUUGGCCACUGCUCUCGAUCUAAGAGAAAAUUAUUUUUUCAAAAUAACCCAGACUAUGGAGAGAAAUGCCAAAAGCCAGAUUUAACAGCGGAACUCUAUGAGACAGCCAAAGAAGUGUUUCUAAAAAACUUGGAAGUUUCUGUCAAAAAUCGUCACGAUAUAGAACGCGACACGGUAUUACAAGCAGAAAGUGCGUUAUGGUUAGAGCUUCGCAGAUGUUUACUGACAGCAUCGUCUUUUAGUAAGAUUUGCAAGAGACGGCCAAACAUAAGUUCAGCGCCGCUUGUGAAGUCUAUUGUCUAUUCGUAUUCUUUGGACAAUGUACCAGCCAUCAAAUACGGUAAAAGUAAUGAAAAGUUGGCUUUAGAGCAACUUCAAAAACAAGAGGGCAUUAUUAUAGAAAAGUGCGGCCUUUUCAUUGAUAAAGAUCAUUUCUUUUUAGGCGCAUCUCCUGAUGGUAUUUACAGUGAGGGCAUAGUCGAAAUUAAAUGUCCAUAUUCUGCCCGCAAUAUGGACCCAGAAGAAGCUAUUACGCAAAAAAAAAAAUAUUUUGGAAUUUAGAUGGCUCUGUUAACACUAACCAUGACUGGUAUUUUCAAAUUCAAGGUCAACUUCAUAUCAGUGAUAAGAAUUUAUGCCUUUUCGCUACAUGGACUGGUCCCGAGUUCCCACUAAAGGUAGUAAAAAUAUGGAGGGAUAAAACAUUUUGGGAGUCUAAAAUGAAAGAUAAAUAGGUAAAUUUUUAUGAAAAAUGUCUUUUACCAGAAUUUGUGGACCCAAGGAAAAGCAGGUCUAUGCCUAU